rnacentral:snRNA from 1 species
AUACCUUUCUCGGCCUUUUGGCUAAGAUCAAGUGUAGUAUAUGUUCUUAUCAGUUUAAUAUCUGAUAUGUGGGUCAGCGACCCACACGAUAAUAAAUUAAUUUGUUGACGGGGGAGUCCUCAACAAUAGCUUGCUAUUGGGAUCCUUAAGUGUCGCCCAUGUGUUGACUACUACGCGGGCUUGGCACACCCUAU